UUAAAAAUUCGAAACAUUUAUUCGUACAUAUAUUUUAUUUUGUUUUGAGAAAAAGUCAAUGCAUCUUAUUGAAUUUUUUUCAUCAAUUCUGAAAAAAAAAAAAGAAAGAUUUGCGAGAAUUCGUUGAUGAAUUUUCCAUUUAUCGAAGAAAGCAAAAAGCGUCGAGAUAUCUAUCUAUGUGUAUACCUCGAAUGAUCUUUCGACCACAACGUCGACUACAAGUUUGCGGUUUUAAAAUCAUCCAAGCAGUCAUUUCACUACGGCCUGCUUCUACUUCUCUAUCUUCCAUUUGCGUCAGUGCCCGUUAAACAUCACGGGAUUGUCCAGUGAGACAAUUUCUAACUCGAUAUAGUUAUUGUUCCUAUCAUUAUUUUAUUUACUUCCUUGGACUGAUUCAGUUAAUAAAAAAACUUAAGAUAUGAUUCAUAGUUCAAAGUCGUAAGAAAUUUUCUAUAAAAUCAACUCAACGACAACAAAAAAAAAAAUAAAAGAAGAAAGGAGGAAGAGAAAGGAACAAUCAAGGUCAUGUCUAAACAAAGCUCGUGACAUCAGGCAAGAUAGCACGAAUAACCUCGGAUAGCCCGCAUCAAAUAGCGCCAUUGGUCGAACAUAGAUUCGAAUGAAUCCUGUCGAAAGAUAAAUUGGAAUGGUAAAGAAGGCCGCAAUCCAGAAUUUACGAUAUCUUAUAGUACUCACCGAAAAGCAAAAGCUAACGUCGGUUUUAUAGGUAUGACCAAUGUAUAUUUACUAUGUACAUAUAUAGAACACGUCUAGGAACUUGGAAAAAAGGAAAAAAGCUUUCACACGAAGAAGUAAUAUAUAUCUACAUAUAUCUGAAAGCAUCGAAAGGUGAAGGAAAGGCACACCCUAAAAGCGAUUUGACUCACGAAAUGGAAGGAUAGUCGACACGCCCUUCUUUUCCUCGUAUCUCAACCAGAUGUUUCCUCGUUAAUUAGUAGUAGUAUAUAUUUUUAUCAAAUAUAUUGUGUAAGUCAGGUAAAACAUAUUUCGUACACGUAAUUAACUUAUUUUAAUAACGAUUUAAACAAGACGUCUAAGAUUUUUAUAAAAAUAGAAAUAUUGAAUUUUAUAUUCAAAAGGAACGAUAGUAAUUCCAAUAUUUUAUGCUAUAAAAGAGAUUUUUCAUAUAGAUAUUAUGAAAUAUUUUAUAUAUAUAUAAAUAUGUGUGUAUAUAUAUAUCUGUUUAUAGAGGGUAUUUUAGAAAUAGAUGGCCAAACUAUAAUAACACUUUUAUUCAUUGUAAGGAUGAAAAAAAUUAUAUAAACAUGGGUCCGGAAACGCUUUCUCUCUAAGUUAUAAACAGUUUUUAUUUAUAACAGAUUUUAAGAACAUUCGAAACUGUUACAACAUUUUAAACAGAAACUACUGAAAAUGUUUUCCUUUUACGUUAAUGCAUGCCUUGCAUUGACCAUGCUGCAUGGGUUGCCGAUGCGAAGCAUGUUGCUUAAUGUAAAUAUAAAAUGUUUAUAACUUGGAAAGGAAGCGUUUUCGGAUCCAUGUUUAUAUGAUUUUUUUCCAUCCUUUCAGUGAGUUGAAUAUUUUCUUAAAAUUUAGUGAUCUAUUUCUGAAAUACCCUGUAUAUUACAUCUUACAUAUAUUUAUUUUAUCUAUAUAUAUUAUAUAGCGAUUUCGUAUAAAUAAUAAUCAUUACAAAUGUUGUUUUUUCCUCGGAAGCUUUAAACCUUUCGGUUUUAUUUCAUCGACAUGGAAUAAAUUUAUUUAGGUUUUAGGUAUUUAUAUAAUGCUCGAAGGGAGAAAACCCUUUUCUAAUCUAUUUUCAAAUAUCUUUAAUAUUUAUCCUAUAUGUUUUCACAACGACUUUAAGGUUGUUUCUUAUGAGGCACGAUGGAAAGAAAGCACCGUUGACAUUUGCAUUUUCUACCUGCUGAGAAACAGAUUCUUCGCGAUUGAAUUGACGUAACGACAUGCGAAAUGCACUAAUUAUAAGUCACUCGGUCGGUUUCUUGUUUACUCACAUCGAGCGAAUAACGUUUUGGAUAAUAUCAGUUAUGGCAAGCAAACGAAUCUUAUCGAUUAAUUAAUAGAAAGUUAAUAAGCGUUAAAGAAGAUAAAUAUCAUACAACAAAUGUUCUAAAAAUAAAUAUUAAUAAUUUUUAUUCUCAA